rnacentral:rRNA from 1 species
UACGGGGGGGGGCAAGCGUUGUUCGGAAUUACUGGGCGUAAAGGGCUCGUAGGUGGCCAACUAAGUCAGACGUGAAAUCCCUCGGCUUAACCGGGGAACUGCGUCUGAUACUGGAUGGCUAGAGAUUGGGAGAGGGAUGCGGAAUUCCAGGUGUAGCGGUGAAAUGCGUAGAGAUGUGGAGGAACACCAGUGGCGAAGGCGGCUUUCUGAUCUGUAACUGACGCUGAGGCGCGAAAGCGUGGGGAGCAAACAGG